UACAGAGGUCUCAAGCGUUGUUCGGAUUCAUUGGGCGUAAAGGGUGCGUAGGUGGCAUGGUAAGUCGGAUGUGAAAUCCCGGGGCUCAACCCCGGAACUGCAUUCGAUACUGCUGCGCUAGAGUACUGGAGAGGAGAUUGGAAUUUACGGUGUAGCAGUGAAAUGCGUAGAUAUCGUAAGGAAGACCAGUGGCGAAGGCGGAUCUCUGGACAGUUACUGACACUGAGACGCGAAGGCCAGGGUAGCGAACGGG
rnacentral:rRNA from 1 species